rnacentral:rRNA from 1 species
CGAACGCUGGCGGCGUGCUUAACACAUGCAAGUCGAACGGAAAGGCCCUGCUUUUGUGGGGUGCUCGAGUGGCGAACGGGUGAGUAACACGUGAGUAACCUGCCCUUGACUUUGGGAUAACUUCAGGAAACUGGGGCUAAUACCGGAUAGUAGCUCCUGCUGCAUGGUGGGGGUUGGACAGUUUCGGCGGUUGGGGAUGGACUCGCGGCUUAUCAGCUUGUUGGUGGGGUAGUGGCUUACCAAGGCUUUGACGGGUAGCCGGCCUGAGAGGGUGACCGGCCACAUUGGGACUGAGAUACGGCCCAGACUCCUACGGGAGGCAGCAGUGGGGAAUAUUGAACAAUGGGCGGAAGCCUGAUGCAGCAACGCCGCGUGCGGGAUGACGGCCUUCGGGUUGUAAACCGCUUUCGCCUGUGACGAAGCGUGAGUGACGGUAAUGGGUAAAGAAGCACCGGCUAACUACGUG